GAUGAACGCUGGCGACGGGCUUAACACAUGCAAGUCGAGCGGCAGCACGCGGGUUGCUUGGGGUCCUCGAUGGGGACAGGGGCACGGGUCAGUAGAGCGUACUCACCCUGACCUUCACCUAGCGUUAAGCCAGCGAAGGUAGGACCGAUUACGAGCGUCUUCUGCUUGCGGCGGCCGAGUAGGUCGCGGCGUUUGGGGAUGGAGGAGGGGGUUGCCGCCGAUUUGCUGGACGGGGGGGUGACGGCCCCCCGUGGGGACGAUCGGUAGGGGUUCGGAGAGGAAGGUCCCCCACACUGGAACUGAGACACGGUCCAGACUCCUACGGGAGGCAGCAGUGAGGAAUAUUGGUCAAUGGGCGUAAGCCUGAACCAGCCAAGUAGCGUGCAGGAUGACGGCCCUAUGGGUCGUAAACUGCUUUUAGGCGGGGAUAAAGUGGCCCACGUGUGGGUUUUUGCAGGUACCGCAUGAAUAAGGACCGGCUAAUUCCGUG
rnacentral:rRNA from 1 species